rnacentral:rRNA from 1 species
CAAGCUAUGCAUCCAACGCGUUGGGAGCUCUCCCAUAUGGUCGACCUGCAGGCGGCCGCGAAUUCACUAGUGAUUAGAGUUUGAUCCUGGCUCAGAUUGAACGCUGGCGGUAUGCUUUACACAUGCAAGUCGAACGGUAGUCCUUCGGGAUGAGAGUGGCGAACGGGUGAGUAAUAUAUCGGAACAUAUCCGUAAGUGGGGGAUAACGUAGAGAAAUUUACGCUAAUACCGCAUAUUCCCUGAGGGGGAAAGGAGGGGAUCGCAAGACCUUUCGCUAACGGAGUGGCCGAUAUCGGAUUAGCUAGUAGGUGAGGUAAAGGCUCACCUAGGCGACGAUCCGUAGCGGGUCUGAGAGGAUGAUCCGCCACACUGGAACUGAGACACGGUCCAGACUCCUACGGGAGGCAGCAGUGGGGAAUUUUGGACAAUGGGCGAAAGCCUGAUCCAGCCAUACCGCGUGAGUGAAGAAGGCCUUCGGGUUGUAAAGCUCUUUCAGCCGGAAAGAAAUCCUGCUUACUAAUACUAAGCGGGGAUGACGGUACCGG